CCUGGAAUCAUUCAUGCUGUAUAUAUGGUUUUCUUUCUAUUGUAUCUGUUAAGCCACACCAUCAGUUGGAAGAUACGUCAAUCAUUGAUUGUUCUGUGUGAGGCACAUUUUGCACUGCUGUACAUUCUUCAGCUUAAUCUAAUCUCAAGAGCCUUGAAACAAAAAGGUUCAUUUGCCACAGACAUCCUGUCACAGUUAGGUUUUCUUAAUCAUGCUAGUUAUGGGGAUUUCUUGAGGAUAGCAGCACUUGCAUUCUCCUGUGCUGUUCAUAAUCAUGGCUUUGAAAUGCUAUCCUCAUUUUCAGCAAUUUUGCAGCACACUCCCUGUCCUCCAAUUGGUUUUAGCAUCUUGAGAGCUGGUUUGAUCAAAUCAGUUCUAUUAUCAGUUUAUACUUCACUAUCUGGG
rnacentral:misc_RNA from 1 species